rnacentral:rRNA from 1 species
AUUGAACGCUGGCGGCAUGCCUUACACAUGCAAGUCGAACGGCAGCAUGAUCUAGCUUGCUAGAUUGAUGGCGAGUGGCGCACGGGUGAGUAAUACAUCGGAACGUGCCCUGUAGUGGGGGAUAACUAGUCGAAAGAUUAGCUAAUACCGCAUACGACCUGAGGGUGAAAGUGGGGGACCGCAAGGCCUCAUGCUAUAGGAGCGGCCGAUGUCUGAUUAGCUAGUUGGUGAGGUAAAGGCUCACCAAGGCGACGAUCAGUAGCUGGUCUGAGAGGACGAUCAGCCACACUGGGACUGAGACACGGCCCAGACUCCUACGGGAGGCAGCAGUGGGGAAUUUUGGACAAUGGGCGAAAGCCUGAUCCAGCAAUGCCGCGUGUGUGAAGAAGGCCUUCGGGUUGUAAAGCACUUUUGUCAGGAAAGAAAAGGCGCUGGUUAAUACCUGGAGUCGAUGACGGUACCGGAAGAAUAAGGACCGGCUAACUACGUG